rnacentral:rRNA from 1 species
UGAGGAAUUUUGGACAAUGGGCGCAAGCCUGAUCCAGCAAUGCCGCGUGCAGGAUGAAGGCCUUCGUGUUGUAAACUGCUUUUGUACGGAGCGAAAAGGUCUGCCCUAAUACGGUGGGCUCAUUACGGUACCGUAAGAAUAAGCACCGGCUAACUACGUGCCAGCAGCCGCGGUAAUACGUAGGGUGCGAGCGUUAAUCGGAAUUACUGGGCGUAAAGCGUGCGCAGGCGGUUAUAUAAGACGGAUGUGAAAUCCCCGGGCUCAACCUGGGACCUGCAUUUGUGACUGUAUCGCUAGAGUACGGUAGAGGGGGAUGGAUUUCCGCGUGUAGCAGUGAAAUGCGUAGAUAUGCGGGGGAACACCGAUGGCAAGGGCGAUCCCCUGGACCUAUACUGACGCUCAUACACGAAAGCGUGGGGAGCAAAC